ACCCUACGGGGCGCAGCAGUGGGGAAUAUUGCACAAUGGGGGAAACCCUGAUGCAGCGACGCCGCGUGAAGGAAGAAGUAUUUCGGUAUGUAAACUUCUAUCAGCAGGGAAGAAAAUGACGGUACCUGACUAAGAAGCCCCGGCUAACUACGUGCCAGCAGCCGCGGUAAUACGUAGGGGGCAAGCGUUAUCCGGAUUUACUGGGUGUAAAGGGAGCGUAGGCGGCGAUGCAAGUCAGAAGUGAAAGCCCGGGGCCCAACCCCGGGAGUGCAUUUGAAACUGCCAUGCUGGAGUGCCGGAGAGGG
rnacentral:rRNA from 1 species